GACGAACGCUGGCGGCGUGCUUAACACAUGCAAGUCGAACGGAAAGGCCCUGCUUUUGUGGGGUGCUCGAGUGGCGAACGGGUGAGUAACACGUGAGUAACCUGCCCUUGACUUUGGGAUAACUUCAGGAAACUGGGGCUAAUACCGGAUAGGAGCUCCUGCUGCAUGGUGGGGGUUGGAAAGUUUCGGCGGUUGGGGAUGGACUCGCGGCUUAUCAGCCUGUUGGUGGGGUAGUGGCUUACCAAGGCUUUGACGGGUAGCCGGCCUGAGAGGGUGACCGGCCACAUUGGGACUGAGAUACGGCCCAGACUCCUACGGGAGGCAGCAGUGGGGAAUAUUGCACAAUGGGCGGAAGCCUGAUGCAGCAACGCCGCGUGCGGGAUGACUGCCUUCGGGUUGUAAACCGCUUUCGCCUGUGACGAAGCGUGAGUGACGGUAAUGGGUAAAGAAGCACCGGCUAACUACGUG
rnacentral:rRNA from 1 species